rnacentral:rRNA from 1 species
GACGAACGCUGGCGGCGUGCUUAACACAUGCAAGUCGAACGAUGAAGCCUUUCGGGGUGGAUUAGUGGCGAACGGGUGAGUAACACGUGGGCAAUCUGCCCUGUACUUUGGGAUAAGCCUGGGAAACUGGGUCUAAUACCGGAUAUCACAGCUUCUCGCAUGGGGGGUUGGUUGAAAGUUCUGGCGGUACAGGAUGAGCCCGCGGCCUAUCAGCUUGUUGGUGGGGUGAUGGCCACCAAGGCGACGACGGGUAGCCGGCCUGAGAGGGCGACCGGCCACACUGGGACUGAGACACGGCCCAGACUCCUACGGGAGGCAGCAGUGGGGAAUUGUUCGCAAUGGGCGCAAGCCUGACGACGCAACGCCGCGUGGAGGACGAAGAUCUUCGGGUCGUAAACUCCUGUCGAGU